rnacentral:rRNA from 1 species
AGUGAACGCUGGCGGUAGGCCUAACACAUGCAAGUCGAACGGCAGCACAGUAAGAUCUUGCUCUUACGGGUGGCGAGUGGCGGACGGGUGAGGAAUACAUCGGAAUCUACUUUUUCGUGGGGGAUAACGUAGGGAAACUUACGCUAAUACCGCAUACGCCCUACGGGGGAAAGCAGGGGAUAUUCGGACCUUGCGCGAUUGAAUGAGCCGAUGUCGGAUUAGUUAGUUGGCGGGGUAAAUGCCCAGCAAGGCGACGAUCCGUAGCUGGUGUGAGAGGAUGAUCAGCGACAUUGGAACUGGGCCACGGUCCAGACUACUACGGGAGGCAGCAGUGGGGAAUGGUAGACAACAGGGGGAAGCCUGAUCCAGCCAUACCGCGUGGGUGACGAAGGCCUUCGGGUUGUAAAGACCUUUUGUUGGGAAAGAAAAGCAGCAGGUUAAUACCCAGCUGUUGUGACGGUACCCAAAGAAUAAGCACCGGCUAACCUCGUG